AGAACACCGCUUGGUGGGCAGUUUGGGUGGGGCGCCACGCGCUCGAAAAUAUAACAAGCGUGCCCAAAGGUCAGCUUAGGUGGUUCAGUCUCCACCGUUAACCGUAAGGGGAAAAGCUGGCUUGACUUGAAUCGGAUCAAUAACGAUUGAAGAUGCGAAAGCACGGCCUAACGAACCAAUCUACCUCAUUUCUGGGGGUGAUUGAUAACAGAAAAGUUACCUCGGGGAUAAUUGAGUUGUCACCAGCAAGAGCACACAUCGACCUGGUGGCUUGCUACUUCGAUGUCGUCUCUUCCCAACCUCCUGGUGCAGCAGCUGGGAAGGGUGGGGUUGUUCGCCCAUUAAAGGGGAUCGUGAGAUGGGUUUAGACCGUCGUGAGACAGGUUUGUUGCUUUGUGGUUGAGGCGUAUCAGGUGCCUGAUCGGAAGGGCCCUUUAGUACGAGAGGAACGAGGGCUCGGAGCCACUAGUUUACCAGUUGUCUGACAAGGCAAUGCUGGGUAGCCACGCUCCAUGCGGAUAAGAGCUGAAAGCAUCUAAGCUCGAAGUCGCCCGAAAGACGAGGCACCUCAGGGGACUCGUAAAAGACGAGAUUGAUAGACAGCGGGUGUAAGUACCGAGGUUUCGACCGAGGUAUUCAGCCCAGCUGCACUAAUCCCCCGAGCAUCAAGAA
rnacentral:rRNA from 1 species